rnacentral:rRNA from 1 species
GUACACUCCUGCGGGAGGCAGCAGUGGGGAAUAUUGGACAAUGGGCGCAAGCCUGAUCCAGCCAUGCCGCGUGAGUGAUGAAGGCCCUAGGGUUGUAAAGCUCUUUCACCGGUGAAGAUAAUGACGGUAACCGGAGAAGAAGCCCCGGCUAACUUCGUGCCAGCAGCCGCGGUAAUACGAAGGGGGCUAGCGUUGUUCGGAUUUACUGGGCGUAAAGCGCACGUAGGCGGACUAUUAAGUCAGGGGUGAAAUCCCGGGGCUCAACCCCGGAACUGCCUUUGAUACUGGUAGUCUUGAGUUCGAGAGAGGUGAGUGGAAUUCCGAGUGUAGAGGUGAAAUUCGUAGAUAUUCGGAGGAACACCAGUGGCGAAGGCGGCUCACUGGCUCGAUACUGACGCUGAGGUGCGAAAGCGUGGGGAGCAAACAGGAUUAGAUACCCCGGUAGUCCCAUGAU